rnacentral:tRNA from 2 species
GCAGUAGUAGUAUAGUGGUUAGUAUGGUGCCUUGCCAAGGCAUCGACCCGGGUUCAAAUCCCGGCUACUGCA